rnacentral:pre_miRNA from 1 species
GCUGGUAAAAUGGAACCAAAUCGAGGACUCGAUGGAUUUGGUCCCCUUCAACCAGCUG